CACAAUACCCCAUAAUGACAUCACAAUACCCCAUAAUGACAUCACAAUACCCCAUAAUGACAUCACAUUAUCCCAUAAUGACAUCACAUUAUCCCACAAUGACAUCACAAUACCCCAUAAUGACAUCACAAUACCCCAUAAUGACAUCACAAUACCCCAUAAUGACAAAGCGUGAACAGGUUUAAGACAUUUUGGCAAUGAAAUAAAACUACUGAAAUAUCACAUUUACAUAAGACCCUUUACAGCAAUUACAGCCGUCUUCGGUAUGAGGCUACAAGCUUGGCACACCUGUAUUUGGGGAGUUUCUCCCAUUCUUCUCUGCAGAUCCUCUCAAGCUCUGUCAGGUUGGAUGGGGAGCGUCGCUGCACAGCUAUUUUCAGGUCUCUCCAGAGAUGUUAGAUCGGGUUCAAGUCCAGGCUCUGGCUGGGCCAGUCAAGGACAUUCAGAGACUUGUCCUGAAGCCACUCCUGUGUUGUCUUGGCUGUGUGCUUAGGGUCGUUGUUCUGUUGGAAGGUGAACCUUCACCCCAGUCUGAGGUCCUGAGCGCUCUGGAGCAGGUUUUCAUCAAGGAUCUCUCUGUACUUUGCUCCGUUCACCUUUCCCUCGAUCCUGACUAGUCUCCCAGUUCCUGAAAAACAUCCCCACAGCAUGAUGCUGCCACCACCAUGCUUCACCGUAGGGAUGAUGCCAGGUUUCCUCCAGACGUGACGCUUGGCUUUCAGGCCAAAGAGUUCAAUCUUUCUUUCAUCAGACCAGAGAAUCUUGUUUCUCGUGGUCUGAGAGUCCUUUAAGUGCCUUUAAUUCCUUUGACCUCGUGGCUUGGUUUUUGCUCUGUCAACUGUGGGACUUUCCAAAUCAUGUCCGUUCCAAUUGAAUUUACCACAGGUGGACUCCAAUCAAGUUGUAGAAACAUCUCAAGGACGAUCAAUGGAAACAGGAUUCACCUGAGCUCAAUUUGGAGUCUCAUGGCGAAGGGUCUGAAUACAAUAUGUAAAUAAGGUAUUUUUGAUUUGUAUUUUUAAUACAUUUGCUAACAUUUCUAAAAAAAAACAGUUUUUGCUUCGUUACUGUGGGGUAUUGUGAUGUCACUAUGGGGUAUUGUGAUGUCACUAUGGGGUAUUGUGAUGUCACUAUGGGGUAUUGUAUGUAGAUUGAUGAAGGAUAGUUAAAAAAAAAAAAAAAAAAAUCAAUUUUCUAAUAUGGCUGUAAUGAAACAAAGUGUGUAAAACAUCAAGGGGUCUGAAUACUUUCCAAAUGCCCUGUAUAUAGUGAACUACUACCCUAUGGGCCCUGGUCAAGAGUAGUGCACUAUAUAGGGAAUAGGGUGUUUCAUUCAAAAAGGUGCACCAACGAAAAGGCAACUCCAUAUAAAAAAAUAGUCCCAGAUCUGUUUGUAAAGAACCAUAACAGGAAGUGGUCCCCCUCUUAGCCUGGUCCCAGAUCUGUUUGUAAAGAACCAUAACAGGAAGUGGUCCCCCUCUUAGCCUGGUCCCAGAUCUGUUUGUAAAGAACCAUAACAGGAAGUGGUCCCC
ensembl:lncRNA